AGGCUUGGGCAAUACCUGCCAUAGGUGGACCAUCACCCCCCUCCUCUCUGCGCCUAUGCUAGGUGUGGCAUGUUUCUGUCUGAGGAAGAUCAUGGCUUGAGAAUCCCACUCAGUACAACCCUCCAGGAAAGUUCCCAGGCACUGAGUCUCCUGAUGGAUCCUGGUUGAUUGAACAACAAGCCCCCUCCUCCAGCUUCCUGCCUGGACAAAGCCCCAGCAGGGAACCAUGAGAGAAGAUGUGAUUUAAAAAUCCAGUUCAAGAUUUGGACGGUCUAGCCCCAGAUGUUAGGAAUCAGGGAGGAUGGAGGUGGGGAGAAGAGGAGGAGGAAGACAGAGAUGACCCACUUCCUCCUUAUCGCUGCCUCUGACAUCUCAGCUGCCUGGGACCAGGGAGGCCAAGGUGGGGAAGCGGCAGGAGACCAGGAGGAUCCUUCCAGAUUCCUGAGACGCCUGCAUCCUUGUGUUGGGGCCCGAGUGUGAACUUCCGGGAGUGUGAAUGAGACACACGGGUGGAAAUUUGCCUUAAGUAUCUGGACAUGGACAAGGAAGUUUUGAUGAGAGAGUGGAAUGGUCCAUGAUUAAUGGAUUGAAAAAUGUUGACUUUGAAUGUUCAGAAAAUAAUUGUCCUGGUUAUCGU